CUGAUGGCUAAGAUGGUAAAGCGUCUGCCUACAAUGCAGGAGACCCAAGUUCAAGUCCUGGGUCAG
rnacentral:tRNA from 1 species